CCCACAAACGGAAACAUGUUUAAAAAGUAAAAUAUAAAUAUCACAACUACAUACGUACAGCCAGAAAACCUGAAAAAGUGGGACCAAAUAAAUAAAUUGCAAUUUGUCUUUCCACUGUUUUUUUUUUGUUUUUUUAAGAAAAUAGGUAAUUUAAAAACACACUUUUCUAAAACCUGUCAGAGUCUGAGUCUGUGUGUGUGUGUGUGUGUGUGUGUGUGUGUGUUUAGUGUACUUGUCUGCAUAACCAUUCAGUGUCCCAGUUGGUGCUGGAGUUCUCAGGUGCGCUGGAUGACAGGUGUUUCCUAUCUGCUGAUUGCAUGGAGGAGUCCUGAAGAGGGAGGCUGCCAGCAUUUCAACACCAGAGUGUUUGCCUUAGUGGUAACAAGCUCAGCCUCUACUGAUUUUUUGCUUCGUUCAUGCACUUCAAGUAACUUUGUAUUUUGUUCCCACGCAGGUUUUUACUUGAGGCUUUGUUUACCUUGCUGAGUUCUGACUUUGUUCCAGAGUUUCUCUGAGCAUCUGGAUAAUCAACUACUGAGUUUCGGAUCUACCUUCUUGUGGAUUUCUCUCACUACCUUUUGGACACGGACCAAGCUGGCAGCUUCCUGUUUCCUUCAAAUCUAGGACCAAGGCAUAAUCGUACCCUGUUCCAUCCUCCAUCACAAGCAUCGGCACCUGAGCUCCAAUUGGUUGGCACCAAGACCACAACUAAAAGACAACUGAACGAUCUCUCUUCGCAAGUUAAGAUUCUGGAUCUCUCUACCCCUGGCGGUUCAAGCUACAGCAAUUUAUUGGUGUUUCCAGUCCUCGGCCCUGAUUACUUUGUUGACAAUAAAAUCCAUAAAACUUUUACUUCUGAGUGUUCUCUGUAUGUGGGUCAAAACUGUACUGAAAAUGACAAAACCAAAAGAUCCCUUUUAACCAGAGAUGAACUUCCAUAAAUGGAUGGUUUGUAACAGUGCUGUCUGGAAAUCCCUCACAGUCAUCAUGGAACAAAUUGUUUUCUUCACAAAAAUGAUUUUUUUUUUUUUAUUGAGAUAUGUAGAAUGACUGGUCGGUUUUUGAUGAUGCAGAAACAGGAUGGAGUGAGCACUUUUUUAGAAAGAGGCAGAGCUUGAUGAAAAUAAUGAGGUGCAGAGGACAGAUCUCCUCACACUUAUAGUGUAAGGAAAUCUCAAAACAGUUGUCUCAGGAUCAAAAAAACGACUUGCGGUUCUAUUCAGAUGGAAGGAGGAAACAAACCUGUUCAUUCUAAGUAUCUGUCAGAUAUUUAUUGCAGGGUGUUUUUGGUCUCAAGACGCUAACAUCAACCAUCCUUGAACCUACCUCAAGACCACAGAUUUAGAGACACGACCACAGUUUUUUUUACGAUCCUCGUCUUUCGUCUGCAAUAGCUCAUCUGACCAUAAGAUGCUUCUCUUCCCCGAACCUGAAAGAAGGACAAGUCGACGCCAGCUAACCAGCACAAGAUGCCUUCCUUCGCCACAGAGAACUUCAACAAAUUUUACAGAAAUCGGCUGUAUUGGAGAUGAAUAUCCAUCGACUAGAAGUGAAUGUUGAGGUUAAUAUGGGGUACAGCGAUAAUUCAACUUUGCCUGUGAUCCCAAACAGUGACAGCCAGCUCAGCGACACAGCCAGUAAACAGAACACCGAGAAUAAAGCCACCGGCAAGAGCACCCCACUGGGCCAUGGACCCCAAUAGCACAGCUGUGAAUGGGAUUAAAAACUUCUGCAACAAGAAAAACAAAGAAGUUAUUAUUGGUACCAGUAACCUGGUGUCCGAUAUCUCAGAGAAUAUUUUGUCAAUCACAGAAGAAAAAAAAUCUGAAGUAUUGAAAGAGGAUUUCAUGCAUCUGCUGAAUAAAGUUGGAGGUCUAAUAUCAAGGUGUCCCUCAGCGGACCCUUUGUACCGAUCUUCUGUGGACAUAAGUUUUUUUCGAGACUUCUGAUGAUUAAGAAAUGGUUGAAAAAAGCAUGCGCUACUACAUCUGUGAACGUCAUCGACAACUUUAAUAACUUUUAGGGAAAAAAGACACCUUUUCAAGCAAGAUGGUUUCUACUUGAACAAGCCGGGAGCCAGAAGUCUCACAUCUAAUCUCUUCUAUUCAAUAAAUAAUCUGCCAGCAGCCUGGACCUUCAGCAGACAACAGGGAGUAUCAACAACAGUGAUAAGGCUGCUACCAACAGCUCCAGCAGAGAUAGAGAUAACUAGGCAGUUGGCUGAGACAGAAAGUUCAUCACAAAAGGUCUCCCCACCAAAUUCCACAGGAGAAGUGGACCCCCCGUUAAACCCCCCUCCCUCCAAACUCCGACCCAGACCAAACCCCAUGUUACAGCCCUCUCACCCCAGACAACGGGCCAGACUGCAUAGAACUCUACCCACUCUCCACUGAGCCCAGUAUUUGCUUUACUGGAUUUCACAGACAACAUGAAAGAAGAUUUUAAGACUGGGACCAAAAUGACUCUGACAUCUUCUCCAUUCAACACCCCAAUGGCCCAGGCCCUGCUACUAAACCAACAUCUUCCAGAAGCCGCAGAGCCCCACCACCUUCUAAUCUAUCUCCUUCAAAUCAGGACCUUCAAAUAACUUCUGUGGUACAGUCUGGGUCCCAGUGGUAACUCAAUCAGAAAUGUCCAGAAAAAAACUUGGCCUCCUGAUGGGAUAUGGUUGCAAAAUAUCUGUACUUAUAAGUGAUAGAAAGAACAAAGCUAAAAGGAUAAGAGACAGUAAUAAACAGUCAAACUUAAGUCAUAAACUGUCACGUAAAUAUCUGCCACUAAGUCAUAUAAACUGGCUUUAUUGAACAUUAGAACUCUGUCAGGAAAAUUAUUUGUAAUCAAUGACUUCAUUACUGACCACAAUCUUGAUGUUAUUGUAAUAGUUUUUGUUAUUGAUCUGACCCACACGCAGAAACACACUCAGGAGAUUUACAGAAAGUUUUAAAGUUUUAUUUUCACAGGAGUGGUAUUUGUUUGAGAUCCUGGACCGGGAAAUCACCAACUCCACAGAAGAUGGGAGAGAAGGUAAGACCAGAGGAAAUAAACAGUUAUUGUCAAGCCAG